GCCAUCAAGGCUCCAAGCUCCCCUACUUUCCUGGCCCAGGUGAUAGCUAUGAAGAAUGAGGUCUUGAGGGACAAAUGAAGGAGGGAACAGUUCACAUAGGUUCAAAUGUAGGUUUCCUCAGUGCUUUGAGGACUAUGUUGAGGACCCAUUGUGGAGUUGGCUCUUUGAUGGGAGGGAAAAGAUUGAACAGGCCUUCGAUAAACUUCACAGUGGGUGAAGACAGAAAACCCCUCAAUGGGGGCAAUGAAAAACUGUGAUGGCAGCUAAGUGAACCUUAAUGGAGCUCAGUGAUAAAGCUGUGGUUUUUAAAUUCAGCAGGUAAUUGAGAACGUAUGUCAGGUCUCGAGACAAGGAAUAGAUCAGUGGUUGCACCAAGUCUGGAAGCAUUUCCACUUCUGCAGGACCUUGAGCAGUAAAGGCACUGGGGGAUAAGCAUAUUGCAAUACUUGAGUCCAAGAAAUGAUUAUGGCAUCUCCUAUUGAGUUGUGGCCAUGCCCUCCCCUUGAUCAGAAUAGUCUGCACUUCCCCUCGGAUGGUGUCAUAAAGAGAUCUACCUCUGGAUGACCCCAGGGAGGAUUGCCUCUUGAGAAGUCCAUUUGCCCUGAGCUGUGAAGUUCUGAAAGCAUGCAUCCCAGCCUGUGAUGGAGGCAUCUGUAACAAUGAUCCUCAUUGGAGGAGGCUGCAAGAACAGAACUCCCACACACGCCUUUUGUGGAUCCUUCCACCAAUUUAGAGAAUUGAGGACCUUCCAAGCACAGUGCAUGUCCUAGCCAAGACUGCGAGGGAUCUACAGAAGAUCACAGAAGAAGAUCCAAACUCCAUAGUUCCAGUUACCUGUCCCUGAUCAAGUCCUGUCUUACCUGUUGUACCCAGUUCAUAAAGUCCAUUGUCGUGGGUCCAUUCCUCUGAACCUGGUGUAGUAUGCUGUGUAUACCUGUACCUUUCCUGUGGUAAACCACCACCCCCUUGUCUUGUGGGUUUGGGACCUUGACUUCAUGCCAGUUUUUUAAGCCAAUCUGUACCUGAAUACUCUUUGUGGUACU